rnacentral:rRNA from 1 species
CGAUCCCUACGGGAGGCAGCAGUGGGGAAUAUUGGGCAAUGGGCGCAAGCCUGACCCAGCAACGCCGCGUGAAGGAAGAAGGCUUUCGGGUUGUAAACUUCUUUUGACAGGGAAGAGUAGAAGACGGUACCUGUCGAAUAAGCCACGGCUAACUACGCGCCAGCAGCCGCGGUAAUACGUAGGUGGCAAGCGUUAUCCGGAUUUACUGGGUGUAAAGGGCGUGUAGGCGGGGACGCAAGUCAGAUGUGAAAACCACGGGCUCAACCUGUGGCCUGCAUUUGAAACUGUGUUUCUUGAGUACUGGA